rnacentral:lncRNA from 1 species
CCUCUCCCUAUCCACACCACCCCCCAAAUAAUCCCCACCUCCCGCUGCUCCGCGCCUCCCCUCCUUCCCAGCCUCCGCCGCCCGCCAUGGCCUCCUCCCUCGCCUCGGCAUCCACCUCCCUCCUCUUCCCGCAGGCCUCCUCCUCCAGGAGCCGCGUCCGGCUCUCCACCUCCCUGGGCUUCUCCGCGCAGCCGGCGCGGCUCCGGAGCCGGGCGGCGGCGGCGGGCGGGCAGAGGCGCGGGCGCCUGCUGGUGGUGCGCGCGGCGAGGGGCAAGUUCGAGCGCACCAAGCCGCACGUCAACAUCGGCACCAUCGGCCACGUCGACCACGGCAAGACCACCCUCACCGCCGCGCUCACCAUGGUGCUCGCCUCCGUCGGCGGCAGCGCCCCCAAGAAGUACGACGAGAUCGACGCCGCCCCCGAGGAGCGCGCCCGUGGAAUCACCAUCAACACCGCCACCGUCGAGUACGAGACCGAGACCCGCCACUACGCCCACGUCGACUGCCCCGGCCACGCCGACUACGUCAAGAACAUGAUCACCGGAGCCGCCCAGAUGGACGGCGCCAUCCUCGUCGUCUCCGGCGCCGACGGGCCCAUGCCCCAGACCAAGGAGCACAUCCUCCUCGCCAAGCAGGUCGGUGUCCCCAGGAUUGUCGUCUUCCUCAACAAGAAGGACAUGGUCGACGACGAGGAGCUGCUCGAGCUCGUCGAGCUCGAGGUCCGUGAGCUGCUCAGCAACUACGAGUACGACGGCGACGAAGUGCCAAUCGUCUCCGGCUCCGCCCUCAAGGCGCUCGAGGCCCUGAUGGCCAACCCGGCCCUCAAGCCCGGCGACGACGAGUGGGUAGACGGCAUCAGAGCCUUGGUCGAUGCCGUGGACAACUACAUCCCGGUCCCCCAGCGGCAGACCGACCUCCCCUUCUUGCUCGCUGUCGAGGAUGUGUUCUCCAUCACUGGCCGUGGCACAGUCGCCACUGGCCGUAUCGAGCGUGGCACCGUCAAGAUUGGUGACACAGUCGACAUCGUUGGUAUCCGGGAAACCCGGAACUGCACGGUGACUGGUGUUGAGAUGUUCCAGAAGACCAUGGAUGAUGCCAUGGCUGGGGACAAUGUCGGGCUGCUGCUCCGUGGUAUGCAGAAGGACGACAUUGAGAGAGGCAUGGUGCUUGCAAAGCCCGGUUCUAUCACACCGCACACCAAGUUUGAGUCUGUUGUGUAUGUGCUUAAGAAGGAGGAGGGUGGCCGGCACUCGCCUUUCUUCCCUGGUUACCGCCCUCAGUUCUACAUGCGGACAACUGACGUGACAGGGAGUGUGACAACGAUUAUGAAUGACAAGGAUGAGGAGGCGA